rnacentral:rRNA from 1 species
AGAGUUUGAUCAUGGCUCAGAUUGAACGCUGGCGGCAGGCUUAACACAUGCAAGUCGAACGGUAACAUAAAGAAGCUUGCUUCUUUGAUGACGAGUGGCGGACGGGUGAGUAAUGCUUGGGAAUCUAGCUUAUGGAGGGGGAUAACUACGGGAAACUGUAGCUAAUACCGCGUAAUAUCGAAAGAUUAAAGUGUGGGACCUUCGGGCCAUAUGCCAUAGGAUGAGCCCAAGUGGGAUUAGGUAGUUGGUGAGGUAAAGGCUCACCAAGCCGACGAUCUCUAGCUGGUCUGAGAGGAUGACCAGCCACACUGGGACUGAGACACGACCCAGACUCCUACGGGAGGCAGCAGUGGGGAAUAUUGCGCAAUGGGGGCAACCCUGACGCAGCCAUGCCGCGUGAAUGAAGAAGGCCUUCGGGUUGUAAAGUUCUUUCGGUAGCGAGGAAGGCAUUUAGUUUAAUAGACUAGGUGAUUGACGUUAACUACAGAAGAAGCACCGGCUAACUCCGUGCCAGCAGCCGCGGUAAUACGGAGGGUGCGAGCGUUAAUCGGAAUAACUGGGCGUAAAGGGCACGCAGGCGGUGACUUAAGUGAGGUGUGAAAGCCCCGGGCUUAACCUGGGAAUUGCAUUUCAUACUGGGUCGCUAGAGUACUUUAGGGAGGGGUAGAAUUCCACGUGUAGCGGUGAAAUGCGUAGAGAUGUGGAGGAAUACCGAAGGCGGAGGCAGCCCCUUGGGAAUGUACUGACGCUCAUGUGCGAAAGCGUGGGGAGCAAACAGGAUUAGAUAUCCUGGUAGUCCACGCUGUAAACGAUGUCGAUUUGGGGGUUGAACUUUAGGUUUGGCGCCCGUAGCUAGCGUGAUAAAUCGACCGCCUGGGGAGUACGGCCGCAAGGUUAAAACUCAAAUGAAUUGACGGGGGCCCGCACAAGCGGUGGAGCAUGUGGUUUAAUUCGAUGCAACGCGAAGAACCUUACCUACUCUUGACAUCCAGAGAACAUUCCAGAGAUGGAUUGGUGCCUUCGGGAACUCUGAGACAGGUGCUGCAUGGCUGUCGUCAGCUCGUGUUGUGAAAUGUUGGGUUAAGUCCCGCAACGAGCGCAACCCUUAUCCUUUGUUGCCAGCGAUUUGGUCGGGAACUCAAAGGAGACUGCCGGUGAUAAACCGGAGGAAGGUGGGGAUGACGUCAAGUCAUCAUGGCCCUUACGAGU